AACUUCACACACCCGACAAAUUCGGCUCCACACAGGAACAAAAAAUAACCAGAAGGGAAAAGCUGGUAGAAAACAACCUAACUAAAAAUCGCACAUGCAUUUCAAGUGGCAUAUUGAAGUGGGGGGAAAGCGGUGGCAUUUAAGAAUCCAGGUGGCAGAGAGAGAGCACAACACGGACUGUGGUGAGGACUGGCGGGUGGCGGCAUGUGGCAGCUGUGGCGGCGACGUGUUGUGCCGAGAACAGCUGUUGUCCCGGCCUCCUCACCUCAUCUUCCCUUCACCAUGCCAAAUUCAUCACAGUUCCAACUCAUCCUGUCCUUUCUAACGCUCUUGUUGCAGUUUACACAGUCCCAUGGAGGAGCUUUACAACUGGACAAAGGCAAUUUUGACAGUAUUAUAGGAAACAAUGAACUUGUAUUCAUUAACUUUUAUGCUGACUGGUGCAGAUUCAGCAACAUCCUGGCACCAACCUGGGAUGAGACAGCUGACAAAGUUAGGGAAUUAUUUCCUGAUGAAGGGCGAGUGGUGGUUGGAAAGGUGGACUGUGAUUCUGAGUCAAGCAUUGCUUCUCGCUUUCACAUCACGAAGUACCCAACCCUAAAGCUGCUGAGGAAUGGGCAGGCCACCAAGAGGGAGUACAGAGGGCAGAGAUCAGCUGAUGCCUUUGCUUCUUACAUUAAGGAGCAGCUUCGGGAUCCCAUCAAAAUACUGCAGAACUUGGAUGAAAUUAAUGAGUUGGAAGAGACGAAGAGGACUGUGAUAGGUUACUUUGAGAAGCAAGACUCACCUGAGUAUGAAUUGUUCCGCAAGAUUGCUGUCAACCUCAAAGAUGACUGUCAGUUCCUAGCGGGUUUCGGUGACACAGUGCGCAGUAUGCAUCCACCAGGGGAAAGCAUUGUUGCCUUCAAGGCUUCUAUAACAAAGGAAGAUGACGCUUUUACUGGAUCACUCUCAUCCUAUGAUGAGCUGUCCAUUUGGGCCACAGAGAGGUGUAUUCCUCUUGUGCGGGAGAUAACAUUCCAGAAUGCUGAAGAAUUAACAGAAGAAGGACUGCCUUUCCUUAUACUGUUUCAUGAUCCUGAAGACACAGAGAACGUCAAGAAAUAUACUGCUCUUGUACACUCAGAACUUGCCGAUCAAAAACAAAAUAUCAACUUCCUAACUGCUGAUGGCAUUCAGUUUGCUCAUCCUCUCCAUCACUUAGGCAAGAGCAAGAAAGACUUGCCUCUAAUUGCUAUUGAUUCAUUCAGGCACAUGUACCUCUUCCCAGAUUACAAAGAUGCAUACAUUGAAGGGAAGCUGAAGGCCUUCCUGCAGGAUCUUUACAGUGGCAAGCUGCACAGAGAGUUCCACUAUGGCCCUGACCCAGAAACCACAUCAGAAGCAGCCAAACAAGAUGAAAAUGAAAUACCAAGUCCAACUGAAGCGAUCAAAAAGAGAGAGAAGCCAACCACGCCUCCAGAGUCCACUUUCAAAAAGCUUGCCCCUUCCAAAAACAGAUACACAUUACUAGAGAGAGACGAGCUGUAAGCUAAGAAAGUAAGUUGUGUAAUGACUUUCUCAUUGUUUGUAGAAGAGCUGUAUGUUUUUUAGUUUUGUUUGGGGGGAGGUGGUAAGCAGGGGUGUGGAGUCGGAUAUUCAAAAGUCUGACUCCGACUCCGACUCCAGUAAAUUUAAAUGUUGCGACUCCGACUCCGCUUUUUUUUUCUCUCGCUGAUGAGGCCUUCUUGGCAUCUGCUGAAGAGCGUUGUCAGCCUAGCUCAGCAAGGGGGAGAAUGGAGACGCGUACGCAAUGCGUAUAAUACAGGAUCACACGAUGUACUACUAGUACCACACUCAUUUUAUCAUCGUUGGAUAUCACUUAGCAAUUAACCUCUAUGAUAAAUAUACACAUUAGCUCAUGCAAAACACCAUAAAAUAUGGCAAAAGGGGAUACCCAUAUUAUCUGCUGUCUGGGUGGUUGUUGCGGCAUGUACCACCCUCCUUCCUUAGGGUAUAUCCCCAACAAAAUACAAAAUGAAAAA
rnacentral:misc_RNA from 1 species